CAGCGACGCCGCGUGGGGGAUGACGGCCUUCGGGUUGUAAACCUCUUUCAGCAGGGACGAAGCGAAAGUGACGGUACCUGCAGAAGAAGCACCGGCCAACUACGUGCCAGCAGCCGCGGUAAUACGUAGGGUGCAAGCGUUGUCCGGAAUUAUUGGGCGUAAAGAGCUCGUAGGCGGCCAGGUAGGUCAGCUGUGAAAACUCGAGGCUCAACCUCGAGAUGUCGGCUGAAACCAUUUGGCUAGAGUCCGGAAGAGGAGAAUGGAAUUCCCGGUGUAGCGGUGAAAUGCGCAGAUAUCGGGAAGAACACCCGUGGCGAAGGCGGUUCUCUGGGACGGUACUGACGCUGAGACGCGAAAGCGUGGGGAGCGAACAGGAUUAGAUACCCUGGUAGUCCACGCCGUAAACGAUGGGAACUAGGUGUGGGCGGUGUCGACUCCGUCCGUGCCGAAGCUAACGCAUUAAGUUCCCCGCCUGGGGAGUACGGCCGCAAGGCUAAAACUCAAAGGAAUUGACGG
rnacentral:rRNA from 1 species